AGAGCGAACGCUGGCGGCGUGCUUAACACAUGCAAGUCGAGUGCGCAGUUUUCUGUAGCAAUACAGGAAACCGGCGCACGGCGCACGGGUGCGUAACACGUGGAUAACCUGCCCUCCAAAGGGGGAUAACCCCGCGAAAGCGGGGCUAAUACCGCAUGACAUUCCGAGAACCUCGGUUUUUGGAAUCAAAGCCCGCAAGGGCGUUGGGGGAGGGGUCCGCGGCCGAUUAGCUUGUUGGCGAGGUAAUGGCUCACCAAGGCAAUGAUCAGUAGCCGGUCUGAGAGGAUGGCCGGCCACACUGGAACUGAGACACGGUCCAGACUCCUACGGGAGGCAGCAGUGGGGAAUAUUGCGCAAUGGGCGAAAGCCUGACGCAGCGACGCCGCGUGGGGGAUGAAGCUUCUCGGAGUGUAACCCCUUUCGACCCGGACGAAACGCCCGCAAGGGCUGACGGUACGGUAUAAGAGCCCGGCUAACUACGCGCAGCAGCCGCGGU
rnacentral:rRNA from 1 species